rnacentral:rRNA from 1 species
AUGAACGCUGGCGGCGUGCCUAAUCCAUGCAAGUCGCGCGAACGGACGAGAAGCUUGCUUCUCUGAUGUUAGCGGCGGACGGGUGAGUAACACGUGGAUAACCUACCUAUAAGACUGGGAUAACUUCGGGAAACCGUAGCUAAUACCGGAUAAUAUUUUGAACCGCAUGGUUCAAAAGUGAAAGACGGUCUUGCUGUCACUUAUAGAUGGAUCCGCGCUGCAUUAGCUAGUUGGUAAGGUAACGGCUUACCAAGGCAACGAUGCAUAGCCGACCUGAGAGGGUGAUCGGCCACACUGGAACUGAGACACGGUCCAGACUCCUACGGGAGGCAGCAGUAGGGAAUCUUCCGCAAUGGGCGAAAGCCUGACGGAGCAACGCCGCGUGAGUGAUGAAGGUCUUCGGAUCGUAAAACUCUGUUAUUAGGGAAGAACAUAUGUGUAAGUAACUGUGCACAUCUUGACGGUACCUAAUCAGAAAGCCACGGCUAACUACGUG